rnacentral:rRNA from 1 species
GCUUAGCUGUAAACAAUGAUGGGACCUGCACACUCAACCCAUCCGCCCGGAUACUACGAGCGCAAGCUUAAAACCCAAAGGACUUGGCGGUGCUUUAGACCCAACUAGAGGAGCCUGUUCUCCAACCGACACUUCCCGUUAAACCUCACCCUUUCUCGUAACUUACAGCCUGUAUACCGCCGUCGCCAGCCUACCCUAUGAUGGACCCGCAGUGAGCUUGAACGAUAACCCUACUCCAGAAUGACAGGUCGAGGCGCAGCUUAUGAAAGGGGCUAAGAAUGGGCUACAUUCGCUUACUUCAAGCGCAUACGGAAACUUAACACUGAAAUACAUAGGUUGAAGGUGGAUCUAGCAGUAAGAGGGGAAUAGCGUGCCCCUCUGAAGCAGGCCAGAAAGCGCG